GCGAGCUCCCGGUGCUUGCUCGCGCCCAGGCUGCCGUUGAGGAACAGCACCCCCAGGGCUCUGUCGAUGGCAAAGACGCCCGGCUGCGGGCUGGCGAUGGAGUACCGGAUGAGUCCGUUCCGCCCACUGUCUCUGUCUUCCGCACGUGCGAGGGCAAAUACUCUCCAUAGAGACUGAAGGAAGGGAGAGAGGAAGGAACAGGAGGGGACCAGGAGGAGGACAAGCUCUUUGGAAAGAAAAAAAAUUGUGGGAUGGACAGGAACAAUGUUGGAAGAACAAAGAACAACCCACAGGUUGUGUUAUCUCCCUUGUUUUGACUUGUGUGGAAAGAAGAAAAAAAUUAUUCAAGAUUGUACCGCCUAGGAAAAAACAAGAAGUAUUCCAAUAAUGGACUUCCAUGCAGCAUAAGAAAUAAGUACUUACUCAAGGGCUCUCUUGCUUUCACUGUUCCAAUGGGACUAUCUUCAGGCACAUCUUCAUAAACUAAGAAAGUGUACUUAGGCCUUUCAAACUCAGCAGGUGCCAGAGUUGUCUGGAAAAUGUGUAUGGUGAUGUCGGCAUUAAUGACAGCUGUGAGCCCACCACCGUCUUGAGCAGAGACCAUCAACGAAAUUGUGGUAGAUUCCAAAUGACUAAGAGGUGAUGUUAAGUAAAUAAUUCCUGGGUAAGAAAAAGAAAACAUUGGUAAACAGAUAACAUGUAAUAAAUACUGAUGAGCAAUAGU